rnacentral:lncRNA from 1 species
AUCUUUUGAAAUUUAGGUCAUAUUUUUCUGACUUUUUUUGACUAAGAAGAAAGCAAAGUGGAUCUAACUAGCACACGGGGAAAAUCUGAAAGGCCCAGAGGCACAACUACAAGACAAGAGGACAUGAGAAACUGCAGACUGAGAAACUGAUGUCUUUCAGGUUCAGUGAGCUGCUACCGUUAUGGCCUGAUGUAUUGGUUUGAAUGGCUGGAGCUCAUGCAGAUCCGGAUGUGCUUCUGGUCGGCUCUGAUCUCCACUGCUCCCGCUAGGCCUCUUUUACAGCAACAGGAAAUGCUGCCUGCUAUGGGGUCACGACCCACUCAUUUUGACAUAUGCGUCAAGUGCAGCCCACCCGACCGGCAUACGAGGUUUCCGGUUCGUGCAAGGUGUGGACUGAUAGUUUGGGAAGGAAACGGAGGGCAGACGGAGCUGAGACAGCGAGGCAGAAUAGGAGAUGGAAAAGGUCCUUAAUCCCCAUACUGAACACCUUUGGGAGGAACAGCGAGGCAGAUCCCAUGACCAGGUUGAUUUUGAUUAUAUAUUGCUUGCUCUGCUACAUAAAUUUAGUACCACUAAAGGAAAUGGGCAUUUAUGUGUGUUCCCAUAUAUUAUGUGAAAGGACAUAAAUAAAACCAUAGUAUAGUGAGGCAGUGCCAUAAGAGAGUGUGUGUAAAAAGAAGGUGAGUUGAAUAUAAGGGUGAGGAGAGGGGGGUGUGUGCUCAGAUUCCGGGGCCUCGCUACCGUUACACA